rnacentral:rRNA from 1 species
UCAGGACGAACGCUGGCGGCGUGCUUCAAACAUGCAAGUCGAACGGAGUUAAUUUUGAAGCUUGCUUUAGAAUUAACUUAGUGGCGGACUGGUGAGUAACGCGUGAGUAAUCUGCCUAUCACAGGGGGAUAACAGAGGGAAACUUCUGCUAAUACCGCAUAAGACCACAGGAUGGCAUCAUCAAGGGGUCAAAGGUUAGAUCUGGUGAUAGAUGAGCUUGCGUAUCAUUAGCUAGUUGGUGAGGGUAAAGGCCCACCAAGGCGACGAUGAUUAGCCGAUCUGAGAGGAUGACCGGCCACACUGGGACUGAGAUACGGCCCAGACUCCUACGGGAGGCAGCAGUGGGGAAUAUUGCACAAUGGGGGAAACCCUGAUGCAGCGACGCCGCGUGAGUGAAGAAGUAUUUCGGUAUGUAAAGCUCUAUCAGCAGGGAAGAAAAUGACGGUACCUGACUAAGAAGCCCCGGCUAACUACGUGCCAGCAGCCGCGGUAA